rnacentral:rRNA from 1 species
CAUGCAGUCGAGCGGAGAUGAGGUGCUUGCACCUUAUCUUAGCGGCGGACGGGUGAGUAAUGCUUAGGAAUCUGCCAUUUAGUGGGGGACAACAUUCCGAAAGGAAUGCUAAUACCGCAUACGUCCUACGGGAGAAAGCAGGGGAUCUUCGGACCUUGCGCUAAAUGAUGAGCCUAAGUCGGAUUAGCUAGUUGGUGGGGUAAAGGCCUACCAAGGCGACGAUCUGUAGCGGGUCUGAGAGGAUGAUCCGCCACACUGGGACUGAGACACGGCCCAGACUCCUACGGGAGGCAGCAGUGGGGAAUAUUGGACAAUGGGCGGAAGCCUGAUCCAGCCAUGCCGCGUGUGUGAAGAAGGCCUUUUGGUUGUAAAGCACUUUAAGCGAGGAGGAGGCUACUAGUACUAAUACUACUGGAUAGUGGACGUUACUCGCAGAAUAAGCACCGGCUAACUCUGUGCCAGCAGCCGCGGUAAUACAGAGGGUGCGAGCGUUAAUCGGAUUUACUGGGCGUAAAGCGUGCGUAGGCGGCUUUUUAAGUCGGAUGUGAAAUCCCCGAGCUUAACUUGGGAAUUGCAUUCGAUACUGGGAAGCUAGAGUA